CUUAUUCCAUAAACAAUACAGUAUGAGAACUAUUUACAUAAUAUUUGUAUCAUAUUAGGUAUUAUCAAGAAUCCAGAGAUGAUUUAAAUGUGUGGACGGAUGUGCUGAGGUUGCUGAAGUCACCUGCGAAUACUACACCAUAAGCAUCAACAGAUUUUGGCUCCUCAGGGUUCCUGGAACCAAUUGCCUGAUGAUACCAAGGGGUGACCAUACUACGGGAAAGUUCUGUAUAUAUUCUAGUAUGAGAUCUUGUCAGGUUUUGUGAGUAUGUGUGGGUGUUAUAGUUUAGAUCUUGAAUGUUCCCCUGAAGGCACAUGUGUUGAAGACUUGGUCUCCACCCCACAGUGUUACUUGGUGGCAGUGGGACCAUUAGGAGGUAGGGUCUAGUGGAAGGAAGUCAGGUUAUUAUGGGAAUGCUCUUGAAGGGGAUAUUGGAACCCUGGCACCUCCUCUUCUCUUUGUUUCCUAGCUUCCAUGAGGUGAAUAUGCCUCUUCCAUCAUGUGUUUCCACUAUGAUGCACUGUGCAGCCAAUGGCCCAAAGCAACAAGGCCAAAGGACCACAGAUUAAAACCUCAGAAACCAUGAGCCAAAAUAAACCUUUCCUCCUUUUAAGUUGAUUAUUUCAGGUGUUUUAUCACAGUGAUAGAAAACUGACUAACACAGUUUGUAUAUAUAAUGUUUUCUUUCAGGCUGUGGUUUGCCUUUUCACUUUCAUAAUGGGUAUUUUUUAAUACAUUUUUUUUAGUUGUAGGUGGACAUGAUACCUUUAUUUUAUUUAUCUUUAUGUGGUGCUGAGGCUUGAACCCAGGGCCUCACAUAUGCGAGACGAGUGCUCUACUGCUGAGCCACAACCCCAGCCCCAUAAUGAGUAUUUUUUGAUGAGUGAAAAUAUCUAAUUUUGAUGAAAUGCAUUUUUUUUUCUUACAGUUAGUGCCUAUGACAUAUUUUUAAAGAUAUCUACCAGUUUGGGGAUUAGCUCAGUGGUAGAGUGCUUACCUAGCAUGUUUGAGACCCUGGAAUCAAUCCCCAGCACCACACAUACACGUGCAUACACAUACACACACACAAAAUUGCCUUCCCUUUACAUUUAAAUACAUGACCCAUCUUGAAUUUAUUUCUGUAUGUUGUGUAGGUUGGAAUGUGGGACUAGCGAAGUCAAGUUUUUUUUUUCUUUCUUUUCCUUACAGAUAGCUACUUGCUCCAACAUUACUGAAAAAUACAAAACAAAACAAAACAAAAUCUUUUCUUUCAUAUUGAAUUUUUUGGGGGGAUACCAGGGAUUAAGCUCAGGAGCAGUUGACCACUGAGCCACAUCCCCAGCCCUAUUUUGUAUUUUAUUUACAGACAGGGUCUCACUGAAUUGCUUAUCACCUCACUGUUGCUGAGGCUGGCUUUGAACUCGCCAUCCUCCUACCUCAGCCUCCCAAGCCACUGGGAUUACAGACAGGUCCACUGUGCCUGGCUUGUAUUGAAUUUUAUCAAUGCCUUUGUUAAAAAUAAAUUAACUAUAUAAGUGUAGCUCUACUUACUUAGUACUAUUAAGUAUCUUUCCUCUCCCCUGUCAGGGCCUGAUAAGCCAAGAGAAAAAGGGGAAAGAAGGCAAAUUUCAAGGCUCUUGCCAAGGAAACCUAGACCGAGAGUAAGGCAUGUGGAAGGAAAUAGCAUAUAGUUCCUACAUUUGUCCUUCAUGGACACCUGAGAACACAUUGCCAUUGCGGAUAUAGUUCUUCUAUGGGUGAAGGCAUUACAUUCUAGGCUUGUAACCAGGUAUAGAUUUGGGGACUGUUGAAGACAAAGUUGGAAGGCUGUCAGAUUUCUAUCUUCCCCAGUUCCCUUAGGUGUCACCAAGCUCAUCAAUUAACAUUGAUGCUUAGGAAAGAAUCUGCAAAUCUUUCACAACAUGACACAAAUGAAAAAUCCCAUGGAUAUUUAUAUUUUGCCUGAAGUAAAUGCUUUGCCAUGAAGAAAUACGAUGGUGAAAUUUUAUGCAUGAGAUUUGGCUAAAUUCAACGAGGCUUGUGCAGAUGUGCUGAGACUGAGAACAGGAGUAACACAGCUAAAGCAAAGAAGUCUUGGGGCUGUGCCUCGGACAAUGAAUGAGUCCCAGAAGACGAAGGACAAAGGAAUCUGUAGUAUCAAUAAUGCCACUGGUCGGGGGGAACUCUGAAAAUAAGGCAGAGAUACUUCUGGGCACUCAGGGGCCAUUCAAACCUUGGCUCAGUAGUGUGGUCUGUGAACUGAGUUGUGUUUUUGCUCUUUGAGGGCAGAACAAGGAAUCCACUCACCCGGGAUACUCAUCAAGCAACCUGACAAUACUGAAGCUGGCACAGUCAAUUUUCAUGACUAAUAAAAAAUGCCAGGGUGGAGUAAUAAUUAUGCAAGCUACGUUGUUGCUCCUGUUCCUAAGAAGAAAAUUCUCUCUUCCAGACAUUCACAGUGUGUCAUAGGCACCUCCCAGCAUGGUUCUGUGUCAGCUUAAGCUCUAGGAAGAACAGGCCAAACACUUACGUGUGAACAUUGGGCAAAUCCUCUCAAGUCUUCUUGAUAAAUGUUCAUUUAUGAGUUUGGCUUUGACGUGAAUCAAUUAUGUUGCUGGAUGAACUUAAAAGUGCUCUGGUAAUGUGGUCUGGGGACCAUCUACACCAGAAUUACUUGGGAUGCCAGUUCAAUGCAGAUUCCUGAACCCUAUCCCAGGUUUAUUAAAGUAGAAGUACUGUUAAGAGCAGGCCCUAGAAUCUGCAUUUCAAAAAAUCAGAAAGCUCUCUCUUGGUGAUUUUUGUGUGCAUUAAAUUUGGAAGCCCAGUAGCUUCAAAUGUUCGUGUCCCAAGCUUAUAGAGGCAGCCGGGAGGUGAGAAAGUAGAAAUCUGGAAGACCAGUCUAUUGUUAGUGGAAGCCAUUUCUACAAAGAGAAAAUACAUGAAAGAAAUCCAUGGCAAAUGCUGAGGCAGGUGUUGGCAAUAUGAUCUAUUCAAAUUGAGAUAGACACAGGUUGAUUCUGGAUUUUUGUUGUGGUAUAUCCAGCAUAUACUACAAUGGGACCAUUAAUGUGCCAGUCAUUAAACUGUUUGUCCUAGCCCAAUGCCCUGCUCCCAAUCCUAACUGUACCAAGGAUUCUGUACCAAGGUAGAUGAAGCUAUUUAAUCAACAGGGGACAGAUGGUGGCAACAGGACCAUCAUUUUGUCAAUCAAAAGCAAGGUAUCCCCAGAAAUAUGUACAAUUAUUAUAUGUCAAUUAAAAUAAAAUAAACACAUUUUUAAAGGUGCAAGCUGAUAUUUCUCCACAGCUUGUAGAAUGUGUGUGCCAUUUCCAUUUUAACCUUUCUGAUAUUCCUUUUGCCCUGCACUGACCCAACCACCUGAGGAAAAAUAAAGACAGAAUUAAAUUUUAUAACUUCUCUCAUUUUGUAUCCAGUGUUCUCUGGAAACAUUGCAUUUUUUAGA